AUGUUUACAUUUGCUUUAACUUUGACUGAAACUAUCUUGGUGACACUUGCAUCAAUGGUGUGUUGUGCCCUUAUAGAUGUCCUUGGAGAAGAUGGACAUUGGAGUGUAGGGGAGGAACAACCUUGUCCUGCUCAAGGAGGAGGAGGAGGAGGACCAGCCGAGCUCGACGACGACACGGCAACAGGUAGCACUCGCCUCCCUCCCAAGGCGAAGGAACUAGCAAACUUUGUUGUUUUGCAACUGAAUGAACGCAACUUCAGUUUGUACGUCACCCAGCUUGCUGCUAUUGUGGCUGUCGAUGCCGGCGAGCCUGCAACAUCUCCGAUGAGCUGCAGGACCUGGACACCUUAG
rnacentral:rRNA from 1 species